UUCGCCCUUAGAGUUUGAUCAUGGCUCAGGAUGAACGCUGGCGGCGUGCCUAAUACAUGCAAGUCGAGCGAACGGACGAGAAGCUUGCUUCUCUGAUGUUAGCGGCGGACGGGUGAGUAACACGUGGAUAACCUACCUAUAAGACUGGGAUAACUUCGGGAAACCGGAGCUAAUACCGGAUAAUAUUUUGAACCGCAUGGUUCAAAAGUAAAAGACGGUCUUGCUGUCACUUAUAGAUGGAUCCGCGCUGCAUUAGCUAGUUGGUAAGGUAACGGCUUACCAAGGCAACGAUGCAUAGCCGACCUGAGAGGGUGAUCGGCCACACUGGAACUGAGACACGGUCCAGACUCCUACGGGAGGCAGCAGUAGGGAAUCUUCCGCAAUGGGCGAAAGCCUGACGGAGCAACGCCGCGUGAGUGAUGAAGGUCUUCGGAUCGUAAAACUCUGUUAUUAGGGAAGAACAUAUGUGUAAGUAACUGUGCACAUCUUGACGGUACCUAAUCAGAAAGCCACGGCUAACUACGUGCCAGCAGCCGCGGUAAUACGUAGGUGGCAAGCGUUAUCCGGAAUUAUUGGGCGUAAAGCGCGCGUAGGCGGUUUUUUAAGUCUGAUGUGAAAGCCCACGGCUCAACCGUGGAGGGUCAUUGGAAACUGGAAAACUUGAGUGCAGAAGAGGAAAGUGGAAUUCCAUGUGUAGCGGUGAAAUGCGCAGAGAUAUGGAGGAACACCAGUGGCGAAGGCGACUUUCUGGUCUGUAACUGACGCUGAUGUGCGAAAGCGUGGGGAUCAAACAGGAUUAGAUACCCUGGUAGUCCACGCCGUAAACGAUGAGUGCUAAGUGUUAGGGGGUUUCCGCCCCUUAGUGCUGCAGCUAACGCAUUAAGCACUCCGCCUGGGGAGUACGACCGCAAGGUUGAAACUCAAAGGAAUUGACGGGGACCCGCACAAGCGGUGGAGCAUGUGGUUUAAUUCGAAGCAACGCGAAGAACCUUACCAAAUCUUGACAUCCUUUGACAACUCUAGAGAUAGAGCCUUCCCCUUCGGGGGACAAAGUGACAGGUGGUGCAUGGUUGUCGUCAGCUCGUGUCGUGAGAUGUUGGGUUAAGUCCCGCAACGAGCGCAACCCUUAAGCUUAGUUGCCAUCAUUAAGUUGGGCACUCUAAGUUGACUGCCGGUGACAAACCGGAGGAAGGUGGGGAUGACGUCAAAUCAUCAUGCCCCUUAUGAUUUGGGCUACACACGUGCUACAAUGGACAAUACAAAGGGCAGCGAAACCGCGAGGUCAAGCAAAUCCCAUAAAGUUGUUCUCAGUUCGGAUUGUAGUCUGCAACUCGACUACAUGAAGCUGGAAUCGCUAGUAAUCGUAGAUCAGCAUGCUACGGUGAAUACGUUCCCGGGUCUUGUACACACCGCCCGUCACACCACGAGAGUUUGUAACACCCGAAGCCGGUGGAGUAACCUUUUAGGAGCUAGCCGUCGAAGGUGGGACAAAUGAUUGGGGUGAAGUCGUAACAAGGUAAC
rnacentral:rRNA from 1 species